CGGCUCCGUGGUGUAGCGGGCAACGCGCUCACCUCACAAGCUGGAGACUCGGGUUCGAUCCCCGCCGCCGA
rnacentral:tRNA from 1 species